rnacentral:rRNA from 1 species
UACGUAGGCAGCGAGCGUUGUUCGGAGUUACUGGGCGUAAAGGGCGUGUAGGCGGUCCCUUAAGUUUGGUGUGAAAUCUCCCGGCUCAACUGGGAGGGUGCGCCGGAUACUGAGGGGCUAGAGUGCGGGAAGGGAAAGUGGAAUUCCUGGUGUAGCGGUGAAAUGCGUAGAUAUCAGGAGGAACACCGGUGGUGCAAACGGCUUUCUGGACCGUAACUGACGCUGAGACACGAAAGCGUGGGGAGCAAACAGG